rfam:Schistosoma mansoni strain Puerto Rico chromosome W, complete genome
AGCUUUUUAAAUCGGUGCAGAGAUUUUGUCAGACACUAACCCAUUAGGGCUGAUUAGAAUUUCAAGAUAAAUGAAGUU